GACCGAUAGUGAACCAGUACCGUGAGGGAAAGGCGAAAAGAACCCCGGCGAGGGGAGUGAAAAAGAACCUGAAACCGUGUACGUACAAGCAGUGGGAGCACAGGUUUACCUGUGUGACUGCGUACCUUUUGUAUAAUGGGUCAGCGACUUAUAUUCUGUAGCAAGGUUAACCGAAUAGGGGAGCCGGAGGGAAACCGAGUCUUAAUUGGGCGUUAAGUUGCAGGGUAUAGACCCGAAACCCGGUGAUCUAGCCAUGGGCAGGUUGAAGGUUGGGUAACACUAACUGGAGGACCGAACCGACUAAUG
rnacentral:rRNA from 2 species